rnacentral:rRNA from 1 species
GUGGGGAAUAUUGGACAAUGGGCGAAAGCCUGAUCCAGCCAUGCCGCGUGUGUGAAGAAGGCCUUUUGGUUGUAAAGCACUUUAAGCGAGGAGGAGGCUACCGAGAUUAAUACUCUUGGAUAGUGGACGUUACUCGCAGAAUAAGCACCGGCUAACUCUGUGCCAGCAGCCGCGGUAAUACAGAGGGUGCAAGCGUUAAUCGGAUUUACUGGGCGUAAAGCGCGCGUAGGUGGCCAAUUAAGUCAAAUGUGAAAUCCCCGAGCUUAACUUGGGAAUUGCAUUCGAUACUGGUUGGCUAGAGUAUGGGAGAGGAUGGUAGAAUUCCAGGUGUAGCGGUGAAAUGCGUAGAGAUCUGGAGGAAUACCGAUGGCGAAGGCAGCCAUCUGGCCUAAUACUGACACUGAGGUGCGAAAGCAUGGGGAGCAAACAGGAUUAGAAACCCGUGUAGUCC